CGGAACGUGCCUAGUAGUGGGGGAUAACUACUCGAAAGAGUAGCUAAUACCGCAUGAGAUCUACGGAUGAAAGCAGGGGACCUUCGGGCCUUGUGCUACUAGAGCGGCUGAUGGCAGAUUAGGUAGUUGGUGGGGUAAAGGCUUACCAAGCCUGCGAUCUGUAGCUGGUCUGAGAGGACGACCAGCCACACUGGGACUGAGACACGGCCCAGACUCCUACGGGAGGCAGCAGUGGGGAAUUUUGGACAAUGGGCGAAAGCCUGAUCCAGCAAUGCCGCGUGCAGGAUGAAGGCCCUCGGGUUGUAAACUGCUUUUGUACGGAACGAAAAGCCUGGGGCUAAUAUCCCCGGGUCAUGACGGUACCGUAAGAAUAAGCACCGGCUAACUACGUGCCAGCAGCCGCGGUAAUACGUAGGGUGCAAGCGUUAAUCGGAAUUACUGGGCGUAAAGCGUGCGCAGGCGGUUUUGUAAGACAGUGGUGAAAUCCCCGGGCUCAACCUGGGAACUGCCAUUGUGACUGCAAAGCUAGAGUGCGGCAGAGGGGGAUGGAAUUCCGCGU
rnacentral:rRNA from 1 species